ensembl:lncRNA
CUGGGGAACACAGGGUUAGGGACGGGCUGGGGAACACAGGGUUAGGGACGGGGCUGGGGAACACAGGGUUAGGGACGGGGCCGGGGACGUGGCAGCGGACGGGGUUAGGGAACACAGGGUUAGGGACGGGGCCGGGGACGUGGCAGCGGACGGGGUUAGGGAACACAGGGUUAGGGACAAGCGCCAUGGGACGAGGAACUGGCACUACGGGAAGCUUUGGGGGUCUUGGUGGAGGACGGACUGCUGGAUCUGGAUCACGUGAGAACAAACUGAUAUAUAUUCUGAUGAAGUCCAGCUUACAUUGCGUAAUCAUGUGAGCUAUAGCCGAGUAUGAAACGAAAGAUCAUCGUGUUUUCUUCUAUGUCUUUUACCCUCAGUGAUUUCAAAACACCUCGCGGAUCUGCAGCUCUACGGCAAGCCUUCAAGCACGGAGAAGAAGAGCGAAUCACCCAAGACCUCUGGCUAAUGUGCCUUCCCCAGGACAGGUUGGAGAGAUGAGAAGAUACAAAUCCCAUCUCCUCUGUCCUCCAGCCUGAGCCAAGCUCCUCACACUGAGAACACGCACACGCACACACACACACACACACACACAAAUAAAAGCAUAGAUGCACAGAUACACGCACACACACACAAAAUUGCGCACCACACACAUACACAGACACACACACAGACGAACAGAUGCACAGAUGCAAACAGCGCACAGACGCACGCACAUGCACACGCAAACACAAACACAAAAACACACACACACAAACACACACACACACACACACAUUAUCAUACACUUUGUACUACUUUCUCACUAGUAAUGCAUACUUAUAAUGGCAAUAGCAAGUUGUAAUAACUUUCUGCACAUUCUUUGCUUGUUGAAAUGUGAUGUGAGGGUGAAUUUGUCACUAGAAUGUAUAUAAUGUACUAAUCAGCAUGAAUAUGCUCUGUGUAAAUACUCAAAUUACUAUAUUCUUUAAAUAAACGCAUGUUGUUCAUAC